AUUGAACGCUGGCGGCAGGCCUAACACAUGCAAGUCGGGCGAGCGGAGGACGGGUGAGUAAUGUAUGGGGAUCUGCCUGAUGGAGGGGGAUAACUACUGGAAACGGUAGCUAAUACCGCAUACCCACAGAUGAACCCAUAUGGGAUUAGCUCGUAGGUGAGGUAACGGCUCACCUAGGCGACGAUCCCUAGCUGGGCUGAGAGGAUGAUCAGCCAGACUGGGACGGAGACACGGCCCAGACUCCUACGGGAGGCAGCAGUGGGGAAUAUUGCACAAUGGGCGCAAGCCUGAUGCAGCCAUGCCGCGUGUAUGAAGAAGGCCUUCGGGUUGUAAAGUACUUUCAGUCGGGAGGCGUUACCGACAGAAGAAGCACCGGCUAACUCCGUGCCAGCCGCCGCGGUAAUUC
rnacentral:rRNA from 1 species